rnacentral:rRNA from 1 species
ACGGGACCCGCACAAGCGGUGGAGCAUGUGGUUUAAUUCGAAGCAACGCGAAGAACCUUACCAAGUCUUGACAUCCGGAUGACCGGGACGUAACGGUCCUUUCCCUUCGGGGCAUCCGAGACAGGUGGUGCAUGGUUGUCGUCAGCUCGUGUCGUGAGAUGUUGGGUUAAGUCCCGCAACGAGCGCAACCCUCGUGUUUAGUUGCCAUCAUUAAGUUGG